UACAGAGGGUGCAAGCGUUAAUCGGAAUUACUGGGCGUAAAGCGUGCGUAGACGGUUACGUAAGUCGGGUGUGAAAGCCCCGGGCUCAACCUGGGAAUUGCAUUCGAGACUGUGUAGCUAGGGUGCGGAAGAGGGAAGCGGAAUUUCCGGUGUAGCGGUGAGAUGCGUAGAUAUCGGAAGGAACAUCAGUGGCGAAAGCGGCUUCCUGGUCCAGCACCGACGUCAGGCACGAAAGCGUGGGGAGCAAACAGG
rnacentral:rRNA from 1 species